AAGGGUCUUGGUGGUUCCAAAAUUCUUCCAUUUAAGAAUAAUGGAGGCCUCUGUGUUCUUGGGGACCUUCAAUGCUGCAGACAUUUCUUGAUACCCUUCCCCAGAUCUGUUCCUCGACACAAACCUGCCAAGGAGGUCUACGGACAAUUAAUUUGACCUCAUGGCUUGGUUUUUGCUCUGACAUGCACUGUCAACUGUGGGACCUUCUAUAGACAGGAGUGUGCCUUUCCAAAUCAUGUCCAAUCAAUUGAAUUUACCACCGGUGGACUCCAAGUUGUAGAAACAUCUCAAGGAUGAUCAAUGGAAACAGGAUGCACCUGAGCUCAACUUCGAGUGUCAUAGCAAAAGGUCUGAAUACUUAUAUGAAGAGGGUAUUUCUGUUUUAUGUAAAUGAGGUAUGCUUUUUAUAUUUAAUGAAUAUGCAAAAAUGUCUAAACCUGUGUUCGCUUUGUCGUUAUGAGGUAUUGUGUGUAGAUUGAGGGGGGUGGUAGCAAUUUUAGAAUAAGGCUGUAACGUAACAAAAUGCGCAUAAAGGAACGGGGUCUGAAUACUUAAUGCCCUGAAUGUGCUGUAGGUCUGACUGAGGACUUGGGAAGAGCAGAAUUAACAACCGUUUUGCACCAUCGAGACAGUUAUUUGCGUUAACCCAUGUUUUACAGUUAGUCAUUAUGUAAAUGCCGGAUGAAAAAAAUGGCACUGAGGUCACGGCCCUGUGAGUCACUGGAGCACGGAGGGAGGUCACUGGAGCACUGAGGGAGGUCACGGCCCAGUGAGUCACUGGAGCACUGAGGGAGGUCGCGGCCCAGUGAGUCACUGGAGCACGGAGGGAGGUCGCGGCCCAGUGAGUCACUGGAGCACUGAGGGAGGUCACGGCCCAGUGAGUCACUGGAGCACUGAGGGAGGUCACUGGAGCACUGAGGGAGGUCACGGCCCAGUGAGUCACUGGAGCACUGAGGGAGGUCACUGGAGCACUGAGGGAGGUCACGGCCCAGUGAGUCACUGGAGCACUGAGGGAGGUCGCGGCCCAGUGAGUCACUGGAGCACUGAGGGAGGUCGCGGCCCAGUGAGUCACUGGAGCACUGAGGGAGGUCACGGCCCAGUGAGUCACUGGAGCACUGAGGGAGGUCACUGGAGCACUGAGGGAGGUCACGGCCCAGUGAGUCACUGGAGCACUGAGGGAGGUCACUGGAGCACUGAGGGAGGUCGCGGCCCAGUGAGUCACUGGAGCACUGAGGGAGGUCACGGCCCAGUGAGUCACUGGAGCACUGAGGGAGGUCACUGGAGCACUGAGGGAGGUCACGGCCCAGUGAGUCACUGGAGCACUGAGGGAGGUCGCGGCCCAGUGAGUCACUGGAGCACUGAGGGAGGUCGCGGCCCAGUGAGUCACUGGAGCACUGAGGGAGGUCGCGGCCCAGUGAGUCACUGGAGCACUGAGGGAGGUCGCGGCCCAGUGAGUCACUGGAGCACUGAGGGAGGUCGCGGCCCAGUGAGUCACUGGAGCACUGAGGGAGGUCGCGGCCCAGUGAGUCACUGGAGCACUGAGGGAGGUCGCGGCCCAGUGAGUCACUGGAGCACUGAGGGAGGUCGCGGCCCAGUGAGUCACUGGAGCACUGAGGGAGGUCGCGGCCCAGUGAGUCACUGGAGCACUGAGGGAGGUCGCGGCCCAGUGAGUCACUGGAGCACUGAGGGAGGUCGCGGCCCAGUGAGUCACUGGAGCACUGAGGGAGGUCGCGGCCCAGUGAGUCACUGGAGCACUGAGGGAGGUCGCGGCCCAGUGAGUCACUGGAGCACUGAGGGAGAUCGCGGCCCAGUGAGUCACUGGAGCACUGAGGGAGAUCACGGCCCAGUGAGUCACUGGAGCACUGAGGAAAAUCGCGGCCCAGUGAGUCACUGGAGCACUGAGGGAGGUCGCGGCCCAGUGAGUCACUGGGGUCACGGAUGUGGAGGUGGAAACACCAAAGUCUGAGCCUUUUUGUUGUUGUUGGUGAAACACUGCCGCAAGUCCGUAGUGGAAAUACUGUGUGUGU